UUAGUCCUACGGGAGGCAGCAGUGAGGAAUAUUGGUCAAUGGACGAGAGUCUGAACCAGCCAAGUCGCGUGAGGGAAGACGGCCCUACGGGUUGUAAACCUCUUUUGUCGGGGAGCAAAGCGAACCACGUGUGGUUCAUUGAGAGUACCCGAAGAAAAAGCAUCGGCUAACUCCGUGCCAGCAGCCGCGGUAAUACGGAGGAUGCGAGCGUUAUCCGGAUUUAUUGGGUUUAAAGGGAGCGUAGGCCGGCUUUUAAGUCAGCUGUGAAAGUCCGCGGCUCAACCGUGGAAUUGCAGUUGAAACUG
rnacentral:rRNA from 1 species